GACGAACGCUGGCGGCGUGCUUAACACAUGCAAGUCGAACGGAAAGGCCCAGCUUGCUGGGUACUCGAGUGGCGAACGGGUGAGUAACACGUGGGUGAUCUGCCCCUGACUUUGGGAUAAGCCUGGGAAACUGGGUCUAAUACCGGAUAUGACCUUACAUCGCCUGGUGUUUGGUGGAAAGCUUUUGCGGUUGGGGAUGGGCCCGCGGCCUAUCAGCUUGUUGGUGGGGUAAUGGCCUACCAAGGCGACGACGGGUAGCCGACCUGAGAGGGUGAUCGGCCACACUGGGACUGAGACACGGCCCAGACUCCUACGGGAGGCAGCAGUGGGGAAUAUUGCACAAUGGGCGCAAGCCUGAUGCAGCGACGCCGCGUGAGGGAUGACGGCCUUCGGGUUGUAAACCUCUUUCACCAGGGACGAAGCGUGAGUGACGGUACCUGGAGAAGAAGCACCGGCCAACUACGUG
rnacentral:rRNA from 1 species